ACAUGUGGCACCCCUGAAAAAGGGGGGGGAAGACUCUUCCCCUUCUUAUUUACAUACACCGUUCUAUAAUGUCGAAUGUGAUCUUGUGCUUUCUUUAGAGGGCUGACCUUAAUGUUAAUACAACUUUUAACAACGGAUCUCUGGCUCUCGCAUCGAUGAAGAACGCAGCGAAAUGCGAUAAGUAAUGUGAAUUGCAGAAUUCAGUGAAUCAUCGAAUCUUUGAACGCACCUUGCGCUCCCCGGUAUUCCAGGGAGCACACCUGUUCGAGUGUCGUGAAAUUCUCAAGCUUAUAGAUUGUUUUUCAUCUUAGGCUUGGUUGUUGGGCUUUGCCGUGCCCCUCUUUAUUGAGGGAACGGCUGGCCUUAAAAGCAUUAGCUGACUCUCGUGUAGGAUUGGUUCUACUCAGCGUGAUAAUAAUUCUGACCGCCGAGGACAUCUUUCGGGAUGGCCAAUUCUUGCUUGGGUUGCUUCAAACUCUGGUUUACAGAUCUCUAUAUCUGUUCCACUAUCAAGUUUGACCUCGAAUCAGGUGGGACUACCCGCUGAACUUAAGCAUAUCAAUAAGCGGAGGAAAAGAAACUAACAAGGAUUCCCCUAGUAACGGCGAGUGAAGCGGGAAGAGCUCAAAUUUAAAAUCUGGCAGUCUUUGAUUGUCCGAGUUGUAAUCUAGAGAAGCGUUUUCCGUGCUGGACUGUGUACAAGUUUCCUGGAUACGGAACAUCAUAGAGGGUGAGAAUCCCGUCCUUGACACAGGCUCCCAGUGCUUUGUGAUGCGCUCUCGACGAGUCGAGUUGUUUGGGAUUGCAGCUCAAAAUGGGAGGUAAAUUCCUUCUAAAGCUAAAUAUUGGCGAGAGACCGAUAGCGAACAAGUACCGUGAGGGAAAGAUGAAAAGCACUUUGGAAAGAGAGUUAAACAGUACGUGAAAUUGUUAAAAGGGAAACGCUUGAAGUCAGUCAUGUUUGCUUGGACUCAGCCUUACUUCGGUUUGGUGCAUUUCCUUGCAGACGGGCCAGCGUCCAUGUUGUUUGUCGGAGAAGGGGUGAAAGAAUGUGGCUCCUUUGGGAGUGUUAUAGCUUUUGCUCGUAUGCGGGGAACAAUAUGGAGUGGUACAGCACUGCUUCGGUGGUGCUGUGCUGUCACUGCAUGCCUUCAAU
rnacentral:rRNA from 1 species